ACCGUGGCAACCAUGAAUCACCUCACCCUCCUUUUCUGGACAGUGGUCUGUGGAUCCUUAACAGGAACCAGCAGUCAGGUGACUGUGACUCAGACACCAGUAGUGUCCGUUGCUCCAGGAUCCACGGUCACUCUGACCUG